rnacentral:rRNA from 1 species
UACGAGGGGGGCGAGCGUUGUUCGGAAUUAUUGGGCGUAAAGGGUGCGUAGGCGGCCUGACAAGUCUGAUGUGAAAUCCCUGGGCUCAACCCAGGGCCUGCAUCGGAAACUGUCGGGCUUGAGUAUGGGAGAGGUGAGUGGAAUUUCCGGUGUAGCGGUGAAAUGCGUAGAGUAUCGGAAGGAACACCUGUGGCGAAAGCGGCUCACUGGACCAUUCUGACGCUGAGGCACGAAAGCUAGGGGAGCAAACAGG